GGCCGUGAAGAAUCCUGGGGCGGAGCGCGGGCCUGAAACUGUCAAGCGGUAAUCAUCAGGCUGCUGGCGGUUGAGACCGCAGGUACAGCGGCGGCGCAGCGCCGGAUUGAGUUGUCUUUGGGAUCCUCUCUGAGGAAGAGCGGCAUCCCUGGUGAGUUCACCUGGACUAAUCUCGGCUGAAAGGAGUACUCCUAGGAGUCUUUGUGAUUAACUGUUUUUAGUAGUAUUACUCUCCUCUUCCCAGAAAAAAAACUUAUACACAGCCCCACAAUAUAAAGCUUAUCUGUUCCACCUGAA